rnacentral:lncRNA from 10 species
AACUGGCUCAUGCAAUGGAGAUCAGAAAGUCCCUCAAUAUGCCACCUGCAAGCUGGAGAACCAGGGAAGCUAGUGUGUGAUUCAGUCCAAGUCCAAAUUUCUGAGAACCAGGGGAGCCAACUGUGUAACUCUCUUCAGGACCAAAAGCCUGAGAAUGGGGUGAGGGUGAGGAGCCACUGGUGUAAAUCCUGGAGUCUGAAGGUUGCAGAACCAGGAGCUCUGAUGUCUGAAGGUAGAAGACAAUGGAUGACCCAGCUCAAGAAGAGACAGCACGGUCACAUUUCUUUUGCAUUUCUGUUCUACCUGAGCCCUCAAUGGAUUGGAUGGUGCCUGCUCACAUGGAUAUCCAGAUGUGGCUCUUGGCUGCCAUAUUGGACAGGUUGACUCUAGAAAAAUCCCUCUGGCAGCCAUAUGGAAAAUGGAUUGGAUGAGGACAAGACCAGAAGAAGAUAGAAGACUUGGUAACAAUUCAGGU